rnacentral:rRNA from 1 species
GACGAACGCUGGCGGCGUGCUUAACACAUGCAAGUCGAACGGAAAGGCCCUGCUUUUGUGGGGUGCUCGAGUGGCGAACGGGUGAGUAACACGUGAGUAACCUGCCCUUGACUUUGGGAUAACUUCAGGAAACUGGGGCUAAUACCGGAUAGGAGCUCCUGCUGCAUGGUGGGGGUUGGAAAGUUUCGGCGGUUGGGGAUGGACUCGCGGCUUAUCAGCUUGUUGGUGGGGUAGUGGCUUACCAAGGCUUUGACGGGUGGCCGGCCUGAGAGGGUGACCGGCCACAUUGGGACUGAGAUACGGACCAGACUCCUACGGGAGGCAGCAGUGGGGAAUAUUGCACAAUGGGCGGAAGCCUGAUGCAGCAACGCCGCGUGCGGGAUGACGGCCUUCGGGUUGUAAACCGCUUUCGCCUGUGACGAAGCGUGAGUGACGGUAAUGGGUAAAGAAGCACCGGCUAACUACGUG